rnacentral:lncRNA from 1 species
GUUUUGAUGUUAGUUGAUGUUAGUUAUUGCAUGAGUAUUGAGGCUGGUUAGGUUUAUUUUGUUCAUGGUUGAUAAAUGUUGCUGAAUGAUGUUGCUGUACCAUUACCAUGCUCAUGUAUGUUUGGUCGAGUCAUUUUGUUUUGUUGUUGGUGACAACACAAAUGUGCCCUGCUAUUAAACCAUAAUAUGCCAGAAAAUCCAUGUGAAAUAUACUGAAUACUGUUGUUUGGUUGCUUGUU